CCUCCUCUCCUUUCAGUCAAUCCUCUCGGCCGCUUGACAGCUCGCCGGCCGCCGCCAGCCGGCUCCUUGCGGCCAUGCUCCCUUCCCUGCAUCCCCUCCCUCGGUCCCUCCAUCUGCUGCUCCGCGCCUCCGCACUGUGCGCUGGCCGUGCCCCGGUCAGAUUCAUGGAUGGGGAGGCGGUAGAGCAAGGGGCCAGCGGCGGCGUGGAUGCUCCUGCUGGACACGGCCGGGGACGUGGAGUGUCAGCGGCGGCAACAGCACCAGGCAGCAAGGUCGCUUGCUAGUUGCUACACAGUGUGUCCCUCAAGUGUUCGUUGAAAUGCCAAUGCAAACAAGUGCACACUGUGUUUGGUGGAAUGCUUGCCAAAGCCUUCCGUUCAGUUCGGAAGCCAAUGGGAAACUAUGGAAUUGAGCAA